rnacentral:rRNA from 1 species
UACGUAGGGUGCGAGCGUUGUCCGGAAUUAUUGGGCGUAAAGAGCUUGUAGGCGGUUUGUCGCGUCUGCUGUGAAAAUCCGGGGCUCAACCCCGGACUUGCAGUGGGUACGGGCAGACUAGAGUGUGGUAGGGGAGACUGGAAUUCCUGGUGUAGCGGUGAAAUGCGCAGAUAUCAGGAGGAACACCGAUGGCGAAGGCGGCUCUCUGGAACGCAACUGACGCUGAGACGCGAAAGCGUGGGGAGCAAACAGG